rnacentral:rRNA from 1 species
AAUUUUUAGAGUUUGAUCCUGGCUCAGGACGAACGCUGGCGGUGCGCCUAAUGCAUGCAAGUCGAACGAGGCCUAGGAGCUUCGGCACCUAGGUAAGUGGCAGACGGCUGAGUAACACGUAAGUGACCUGCCCCGAAGAGGGGGAUAAUCCGGAGAAAUCCGGCCUAAUACCCCGUACGCUCCUGUGGUUACGGCCAUGGGAUGAUAUGGUUUAUCGGCUUCGGCCGGUACGCCGCUUUGGGAGGGGCUUGCGGCCUAUCAGGUAGUUGGUGGGGUAAUGGCCUACCAAGCCGAAGACGGGUAUCCGGUGUGAGAGCACGAACGGACAGAGGGGGACUGAGACACGGCCCCCACUCCUACGGGAGGCAGCAGCAGGGAAUCUUGCGCAAUGGGCGAAAGCCUGACGCAGCGACACCGCGUGGGGGAAGAAGGCUUUCGGGUUGUAAACCCCUUUUCUCGGGGAAGAGAGAGGACGUUACCCAAGGAAUAAGC